GAUUUAUAUGUCUCUCAGAAUCAAUGUGAUGAUGGUUUCUGCUCAGUAUGGUCUAACAUUUCUAAGAUGUCAGGUCAUUAUAGUGCUUUCUGUACUCAAAUUAUUUUAAUUGAAAGACUAACUCUCCUUUUCUGAGCACUAUUUACUUCUAAUUCCUAUCAUUUUCUUCAAAAGAUAGAACUCUUGGUCUAUCCAUGGCAACUUUCACGGUUGGAAAUAGUUUUGCUGAUGAUGUUGACUUCUACUCUUUAUUCUAACCCCUUGGCUGGGUCUGACCAAGGAUGAUGCCAGCAAAGGGCCAGGAAAGUAAACUGCACAGAGGCAUCUAAUAUUAAAAAUCCGAAGAAAUGUACAAAAUCUACAGGAAGAUAAGCUGUAUCAUCUCCCAGACUGGCAGUUUUCCCCAUGUCACAUGGUCAUUGGGUUAUAGAGUUGAACCGAUGGGCCUCAAGUGAAAGGAAGAUCACGAAAGUUGUGCCUAGAAAAGGGCAUUCUGAUCUGCGGUCAGGUAAAGUAGCUUCUGUUGUAACUGUUUUUGUUAUAUUAAUCAUACUUCGAAUACUACACUCUUCCCAUUCACUUGAAUAA
rnacentral:lncRNA from 1 species